GCUCUGUUAUGUUUUGUUUUUUUUUUUGCAAAUCCAAAUAUAAAAAACUUUGUACUUUUUCCUUUUUUUUCUUUUUUUUUAACAUUUUUUGUUUAAAUGUAAUACAAAAAAUUGUAUUCUUUUCUAAAUCCUUUAAAAAAUGUUCUGUUAUUAAAAGGUGUUUAAAGAAAAAUGUCAACAUAAUAUUGUAAUAGUGGUUAAACGAAAUAAAUUCUAAUGUAUAUUAUUUACUUAUUAAUGUUCAUUUAAAAAUGACAAUUAACAAACCAUAAUAAUAAUAAUAAUAACGAUAAUACAAAAAAUACAUACAUUAACAUUGCCUUGAUUGACUAAUUGAAAAUUAAUAUUUUAAACUCAGUACUCUGACAUUACUUGACUGAAAGUGAAAUAAAAAUGUACAUAUGACUUAUUUUUAUUCGACUUUCAUUAGAGGGACAGUUUUGGGGCUUAAGGGUGAAAAGUGUAACUUUUUAAGGGCCCCUUAAGGGUUAAAUUAACCCGGUUAAUGAUGUGUAAGGGACAUUUAUUUGUCUUAUCACUGAUUUCCCAUUGCAGCACCAACUGGGUGACCUUCAUUGCUCAGGUUGGAAUGGUAUUGUAUCAAGGAAUGUAUUAACUGAAUCAUGUGUUUCCAUGAAGGGAAGCAGGCUUGAUCAAAUGAACUUUGUGUUGACGUUGUCAAGGCCUUGAGGUUGUCAUGUUGACUAAACAGAAGUACUCCUGUUGGUGGACAAACGUCUCCUGACACUGUGGUGUUCACUUACAGCAUCUGACAAAGGUGAGUACAUUUCAGCAUUUUAUGAUAUCGUGUCAAGGGACAUUACCAUGGAGAUGGAUGUAUAAAUUAGUGUAGUCAGUGUGCAGGUUGUGCAGAACAGCAGUAGGCUGUACAGUAGAUCUACUGGGGGGAAAGCAUGACAUUGCUUCUAAGUCACACAGAGCUCAAUUCAAGUCUGUGCUAAUGAAUGCAGCCUCUGUUUUUUUUCAGCGCUGGAAUUUACAAGUCGCCACAAACAUUUACUCUAGGACCUUUUGGAUGUGAAGAGGGGGUGACUCAUGUUUUAGGACUUUCCUUUUUGCGUACAUUCUCCCGACUGAGACUUUGAGACAGGACACAUGAUUAGGUACACCUACACCAUGUAAGCUAAUGCAAGAGAGCAUUCUGACUACAGUAUCACAAAAGUUUCACGACAGUAUAUCUCUACAAUAAAGUUGGAUAUACUGUCGCCACCCAGCAGUUAUGUGUAGUGUUAAUGUGUUCUAGAGUUUUAAAACCUAACUGGUAGAGUGGUGAACCUUCCCAGGAGUGGCCGGUCAACCAAAAUGACCCCAACAGCGCAGCGACGACUCAUCCAAGAGGUCACAAAAGACCUCACAACAUCAUCCAAACAACUGCAGGCCGCACUUGACUCAGUUAAGAAAACAUCUUGAUGAUCCCCAAGACCUUUGGGAAAAUACUCUGUGGUCUGACGAGACAAAAGUUGAACUUUUUGGAAGGAUCCUGGAAGACUUGCUGUGAUAAAUGAAACCAUGAAGUCCGCUGUCUACCAAAAAAUCGUGAAGGAAAAUAUCCGUCCACCUGUUCGUGACCUCAAGCUGAAACUAACUUGGGUUCUGCAGCAGGACAAUGAUCCAAAACACACCAGCAAGUCCACCUCUGAAUGGCUGAAGAAAAACUAAAUGAAGACUGCAGUGGUUUAGAGUCCUGACCUGAAUCCUAUUGAGAUGCUGUGGCAUGACCUUAAAAAGGCACUUCAUGCUGGAAAACCCUCCAAUGUGGCUGAAUUACAGCAAUUCUGCAAAGAUGAGUGGGCCACAAUUCCUCCACAGCGCUGUAAGAGACUCAUUGCAAGUUAUCACAAACGUUUGAUUGCAGUUGUUGCUGCUAAGGGUGGCCCAGCCAGUUAUUAGGUUUAGGAGCCAAUCACUUUUUCACACAGGGCCAUGUAGGUUUGGAUUUUUUUUCUCCAUUCAUCAUAAAAAGUUUCAUUGAAAAACUGCAUUUUGUGUUGUGUUGUCAUUGACUAAUGAUGAUCUGAAACAUUGUGUGACAAACAUGCAAAAAAAACAACAAAAAAAGACAAAUCAAGAAGGGGGCAAACACUUUUCACACUACUGUAUAUUUC